rnacentral:rRNA from 1 species
GUGAGGAAUUUUCCGCAAUGGGCGAAAGCCUGACGGAGCAAUGCCGCGUGAAGGAUGAAGGCCUAUGGGUUGUAAACUUCUUUUCUCAGAAAAGAAUUAUGACGGUAUCUGAGGAAUAAGCAUCGGCUAACUCUGUGCCAGCAGCCGCGGUAAGACAGAGGAUGCAAGCGUUAUCCGGAAUGAUUGGGCGUAAAGCGUCUGUAGGUUGUUUAAAAAGUAUUCUGUCAAAGAUUCGGGCUUAACCCUAGAUAGGCAGAAUAAACUUUUAAGCUAGAGUUUGGUAGAGGCAGAGGGAAUUCCCGGUGGAGCGGUGAAAUGCGUAGAUAUCGGGAGGAACACCAAAGGCGAAGGCACUCUGCUGGGCCAAUACUAACACUGAGAGACGAAAGCGAGGGGAGCAAAUGGGAUUAGAUACCCCGGUAGUCC